UAUUGAACGAGACUGCAGCUGGAUGCUUUGUUCAGGAUCGAUCCUGUGGCGAAAGGCAUUCAGCUUCUUGCAGAUCAAGGCAGAGAGAAAGGGGAAAAACAUUUUGUCAAUACCUUAAUAAUUGGGCUUGAGAAUGACAAGAUGGACAAGAUGCAACUCUAUUCUGUAGGAAAAAUAUUGAGAAACGACAAACUGGGGAGAUUCAGCGGUGACCCAUCCGGAGAGCCUGCCAUCUACAUGCAUCAGAAGCUGUUUUGUUAAUAGAAAUACAGGGCGGAUUGCAUGAUCCAAGGCAUGGAGCAUUACAAGGCCGCCUUACCAGCGAGGAGGAAUAUGCAUGAAUACAUUAAAAGGUAAUGAGGAAGCUGUCAGGAGAGGGUUGUUCGGGGCAGUGCUCGGCAUCAGAGGCAUUGGAGAGCUUUCAGACUAUUACAUGAUGGAUUUGUCAUCUCAGCAUGAGAAGGAUAAAGGGGCGGAGUUCAACAACGUUACUAACGGCAACUGUUGCCAGGUCUUACUUGAUGAUGAUGCGGUUGGCUGGUGGUAACCAACACAAAUGAACUAGAUAAAGCAGCACCUCAACUUGUAUUUUUGGUCAUUUUAUCUGCUCAAAUAUAUAAACAACAGGCUUUGUCGAGGAUUGUGAGUGGUGUGUUACAAUGUCCAUCAAUUUUAAGAUUUUGAUACAACAUCAAUCGUAAUCACACCUCAAUCGUAUUCCCUACGCAGCAACGCAACCACGUGACUAUUGAUGAAGGCGAUGUGGAUUCGCAUAAUGGAAUGUCAUGGCAACAACACCUGGCAACAGUUUAUCCAAGUCCUCAUACCCAACCCCUCCCCCAACCUAAAGCACUGGAACAUUAUUUCUGUGAGACAGAAAGCCCUAUGAACAAAUAAUGGGCGAGCGCCAGUUUAAAUAAAGUAUAGUUUAUGACUUGUGGUCAGGACCGUCUCUCUUUUUUAAAAAGUGUGCUGCAUAAAAACUGCUGCCAACAUUUUUUUCUCCAUACGGUUAUAAUACAAAGUCGUUUUUUCCUGUCCUCACAGUAAGAGAUUCAGUCAAUAAAGGACCGGCAGCAGACCAGUAGUCUGCAGCCACAGGAGAAUGGAACAAACCACACACGCCAAAACAAACUGGUGUUCCUUUGCAUUUUUUCAGCUUGGGCAUUUUAAUAAAACAUUUACAGUCCUUUGGAGCAGGGUAAAUGUUUUGCGAGCAUGCCCUCUUUCACUUUUGAUAUGGGAUUCAUUUUCAUAAUCUAUAAAAUUAUUGCAUGACCACCCCCCCUCUAGUAAAUUUAGGGUCAUGAGUGUUUGAUUUAAAGCAUGCUUAAGUCCAGCUGUUCUGACCUAAUGUAAUUUACAAACAGUGAGGCUGUGGGAUAUCAAACCAAUUAUUCAAAUGAAUUGUACAAUACACUAAGAAACAGACAUGGCAA